rnacentral:tRNA from 1 species
GGAAGGGUCGCAUAGCGGUCUAGUGCACUUGCUUGGAAAGCAAGCGUAGCGCAAGCUACCGAGGGUUCGAAUCCCUCCCCUUCCGCCA